ensembl:snRNA U6 U6 spliceosomal RNA
UUCUGACUCCAGCAGCACAUACACUAAAUUGAAAUGAUCCAGAGAAGAUCACCAUGGCUCCUAGGCAAAGGGUGGCACAUGGAUUCCUGAAGGGUCCCAUAUUCAG